AAAUCAUUACAUAAUGAAGGAUGGCCUUGAAGUUUUGGUCUUCCUUCCUCUAUCUCUCAAAUGUUGAGAUGAUAGGCAAAAGUCACGGUAUCCUGCUUUCUAUCUCGAUGUCAAUCCACAACUUCCGGGCAUAAAAUUAGUGGAAUCUUGGUACAAGCUAGGCAUCCCAAUCCAGUAGAAUUGUGGUACAAUUUGAACAUUGCUAUCUGCAGGCCUGAGAUCAAGUGUUCCAAACUCUGAGAUUCUAUUAAGAGGUUUUUUUUUUUUUUGUUUUUGUUUUUGUUUUUCGAGACAGGGUUUCUCUGUAUAGCCCUGGCUGUCCUGAAACUCACUUUACUUAGACCAGGCUUGGCCUUGAACUCAGAAAUCCGCCUGCCUCUGCCUCCCGAGUGCUGGGAUCAAAGGCGUGCGCCACCACACCUGGCUAAGAGUUUAUUUUUAAUUAAGAGUACUCAAUCAGUAAAGUGUAUGCAAAUGUUCUAGAACUGUGGGUCUAGAGAGAUGGUUGGAUAGUUAGAGUGCUUGCUGGUCUUUGAGAGAUUAAAUUCAGUUCCCAGCAGUCAUGUUGGGUGGCUCGCAAUUGACUGUAAAUUCCAAAUCCAAGGGAUCCCACACCGUCUUCUGGCUUCCACAGGCGCCCAUCCACAAUGUGUGGCACACAUAUCUAGAAACAUAGACAUAUGAAGAAAAUAAAAAUAACUCGGUAGAGCUGGGCAUUGUGGUACAUAUUUUUAGUCCUAGCAUUUGGGAGACAACAGAAAGCGGAGCGCUGUGGGCUCAAAUCUAGCCUGAUCCACAUGGUGAGUGAGUUCUAGGCCAACCGAGGAUGAGAACUUGUCUCAAAACAGUUUUUAAAGAAAAUACUCUAGAAUAAAACAGAACUAAGCACCACCACCAGUAGAGUGCACAGAAAUAAGACACACUGGUGCUGAAUAUUUCAUAGCCUGUGUGUGUCUGUCCUUCCUUUCCUUUAUGUUUUUUUUUGAGACAGGGUUUCUCUGUGUAGCCCUGGCUGUUCUGGAACUCACUCUGUAGACCAUGCUGGCCUCAAACUCAGAAAUUUGCCUGCCUCUGCCUCCCAAGUGCUGAAAUGAAAGGUGUGUGCACUACGUGUUUCUUUUCUUUUUAAUUAACUAAUUAAUUAACAUCUCAAACACUGGCUCCCCCUUCGUGGUACCCCUCUCACAGAGUCCCUUCCCCUCCCCUCUUCCUUUCUCCUGUGAGAGUGUGCCCGCUUCCCUGUAUCCCCCACCCCUGGCACAUCAUUUCUGCCAGAUUAGGCACAUCCUCUCCAACUGAGGCCAGGCAGGGCAUCUCUGUUGGCGAAUUGAUACCACAGUCAGGCUACAGCUUUAGGGAGAGUCUUUGCCCCAGUCGUUAGGGGACCCACAUGGAGACUGAGCUGCAUGUCUGCUACAUAAUGUGCCGAGGGCCUCGUUCCAACCUGUGUGUGCUCUUUGGUUGGUAGCUCAGUCUCUGAGUGUUCCCGAGGGUCUAGGUUAGUUGACUCUGUUGGGCUUUCUGGGGGGGUUCCUAUCCCUUGCCUAUGUUUCUUAAUGCAUCUAACUCAUCUUUUAGGCUUUUAACAGCUCUUUUCUUUUCUAAUGGUCAAAGCACCCCCUCUCUGCUCUGAGGUGGGAUAGACCUGUCCUUUUGAAUGGUCCAUUGCACAGCGUCACACUUCUGCUCAGUGUGUAAGUGAUGUUGCCUUGAAUUUAAUUCCACUAAUAUUGGGGCAUAAAGUGACAUCUUGUUAUUAUUGUUGGGGUCUGGGAAUUGCCACUCAAAUUAUACGAAUACCAAUCUCAAUUAAGCAAGAAUCGUUUAUUGAACUCACUGGACGUCCAGGUCCACAAGAAGGAAAAACCUAAUUGUGGCACUGGUCUGUGUGCUCAGGGCAGGCUUUUUAUAGGGAAACCAAGUUCAAAAGUUAGAAUGCAAGCAGUGAAGAGGUACAGUAUGUUUGGUUACCUAGGCAACGUAUUAUCAGCUAACUUUUAAAGCUGAUUGAUCCUGAGUGAGGUAAGAGGUGGAUAGAUGAUGAGCAGGGGAAUUUUAGAACAUUGACAUAACAGGAUACAAGUGAUUCAACCAUAACUUUUUGGCUUAUUAGUAGCAUUAUUCAGUAUCAGAGUAAUAACUGUGAACUUAAUUUCACCUUGCGAGGAACAUGGAGUCUGAAUGCAAAAUGGCUACAUUUAUGUUGAAAGGAGCAGGCCUCAACAGUUAUCUUCCAGUUUUUCUGGGACAGAUACCUGGGUGCCUCUGGCUCAGUCUCUUGGAGCCUGAGUUAUUACAGAGUUCAACAUGGGAAAGGUCUGUUUCCCCAGUGGCAUCGGCAGUUGGCAGUGUUGCAGUUGGCAGUGUUGCUGUUGGCUCGGGUCCUUGGCUAGACAACAGUCCUUUGAUAUGUGAGCCUCUCCCUGGAGCAGCUCGCCACACAUAAGCUGGUGUCUCCCAGGACACAAGAGAGUAAGAGUGCAUCCGACAUGGUGUUGUGUCAGGCCAGUGGCUCUCAUGUCUGGGUUCUAGUCUGGAAAGGCAUCUUGGAAACCUGGAAGAGAAGAGGGGGGCUAGGCGGCGCGAGAGAGAGACGUAACCAAGACGGUCAGUCUGAUCAAGGUUCAAUUUUACUAUUUCUGACACUCAGUUAUAAAGCAGGGGAAGGGACCCGAUUCCCGCCAAAUCAUCUAGGAGUAAAGUUGCAGGUGAACACGUGAUAGCUCUGGAACAGCUAGAAGGCAGGCAGCGGCAGUGGGAGUGGCAGGACGAUAGGGCGGCAAGCUCCGCCCAGAUGCUCGAACACUGAAACCUGAGCAAACAGGUUUCAGGCUGGGGAGGGGAGGUUACACAUGG
rnacentral:lncRNA from 1 species